CGUAGGGACCAAGCGUUGUUCGGAUUUACUGGGCGUAAAGGGCGCGUAGGCGGCGUGACAAGUCACUUGUGAAAUCUCUGGGCUUAACCCAGAACGGCCAAGUGAAACUGUUGUGCUAGAGUGCAGAAGGGGCAAUCGGAAUUCUCGGUGUAGCGGUGAAAUGCGUAGAUAUCGAGAGGAACACCAGAGGUGAAGACGGGUUGCUGGGCUGACACUGACGCUGAGGCGCGAAAGCCAGGGGAGCAAACGGGAUUAGAUACCCCGGUAGUCCUGGCCCUAAACGAUGAAUACUUGGUGUCUGGAGUUAUUAGUGCUCCGGGUGCCGUCGCUAACGUUUUUAGUAUUCCGCCUGGGGAGUACGCUCGCAAGAGUG
rnacentral:rRNA from 1 species